UCUGGAGAGAGUUCCUGGAGGCCAGGACCCACGCUGGGAUGUCUUUAUCCUCCUGGAGCUGCUCACCCCUAAGGACUGAACUAUUUUCAUUUGCUGGUUAAAAGACAAAGGAAAUCAAGGCAACAGAAAGAGCAAGGAAAACAGCAUCGGAGGUCAAAGCUGAUCUCCUCUGGGUUGGAGGAUCAAAAUGUAGAACUCUCAGCUCCUCCAGCACCAUGUCUGCCUGCAUGCCGCCAUGCUCCCCACCAUGAUGAUAACGGACUAAACCUCUGAAAGUGAGGAAAUCGUCUACAUCUCUGAUUCCCCUGGAUCCUUUCAAUGCCUCCAGAGUGAUGGGUAAUGGAGUGUCCUUACUACAGUUCUAGAAACUGACUGUCCUCAGCUCCAUGUUUGUUCUGUUCCAAAGAUUUCUUACCUGUUUAUGAAGGAUCUUAUUAGAAGAUUCUCUGACAUUCCUUCCCCCUCUGUGACCUCUGACUUCAUGUGAUUCCAUUACAUUUAAAUUACAUUUUAUUUACUUCUUG